CUCAGGAUGAACGCUAGCGACAGGCUUAACACAUGCAAGUCGAGGGGCAGCGAGAAAGUGCUUGCACUUUUGUCGGCGACCGGCGCACGGGUGAGUAACACGUAUGCAACCUGCCCUUGUCAGGGGGAUAAGCGGGGGGAAACCCCCGUCUAAUACCGCGUAUAUGAACCGGAGGCAUCUCCGGGUCAGGAAAGACUUCGGUCGGACAAGGAUGGGCAUGCGGCGCAUUAGCCAGUUGGCGGGGUAACGGCCCACCAAAGCGACGAUGCGUAGGGGUUCUGAGAGGAAGGUCCCCCACAUUGGUACUGAGACACGGACCAAACUCCUACGGGAGGCAGCAGUGAGGAAUAUUGGUCAAUGGGCGAGAGCCUGAACCAGCCAAGCCGCGUGAGGGAAGGCGGUGCAGAGCAUUGUAAACCUCUUUUGUCAGGGAACAAAAGAUGCUACGCGUAGCAUAUCGAGUGUACCUGAAGAAAAAGCAUCGGCUAACUCCGUG
rnacentral:rRNA from 1 species